AUUGAACGCUGGCGGCAUGCCUUACACAUGCAAGUCGAACGGCAGCACGGGUACUUGCACCUGGUGGCGAGUGGCGAACGGGUGAGUAAUACAUCGGAACGUACCUUAUCGUGGGGGAUAACGCAGCGAAAGCUGUGCUAAUACCGCAUACGCACUGAGGGGGAAAGCGGGGGAUCGAAAGACCUCGCGCGAUUAGAGCGGCCGAUGCCUGAUUAGCUUGUUGGUGGGGUAAAAGCCCACCAAGGCGACGAUCAGUAGCUGGUCUGAGAGGACGAUCAGCCACACUGGGACUGAGACACGGCCCAGACUCCUACGGGAGGCAGCAGUGGGGAAUUUUGGACAAUGGGGGCAACCCUGAUCCAGCAAUACCGCGUGAGUGAAGAAGGCCUUCGGGUUGUAAAGCUCUUUUGUCAGGGAAGAAACACCGGCUCUAACACAGUCCGGGAAUGACGGUACCUGAAGAAUAAGCACCGGCUAACUACGUGCCAGCCGCCGCAGUAA
rnacentral:rRNA from 1 species